ensembl:lncRNA
AUGGACUGGACAGAGGUACUGGCCCAGAAGCCCACAGUUCUAGAAGAGGAAUCUAAUUGGCUCAGCUUGAGUUAUCUGUCUAUUCUUCAUCCUCUACGCUGUCGCCACCUGGGCCAACUUCUUCUCCAGUGUUGCAGAUGGGCAAGCAUAGCACACCAGGUCUGCAAGCCUUUCAUUUUAAAGGAUUACACAGGCCCUUCCCAUGAAGCAUCAAGAGAAAAACUGCACACGAGACACAGCAUGGGAUAUGUAAGUGUGGCAUUUGUUUCAAAUUGUCUGGAAGUUGAAAGUCUCCUAAAAUGAAGACCUGGAGGAUGACAGAGGGUGAGAUGUUUGGAUGGCAACACCAGCUCAAUGGACAUGAGUUUGAGCAAACUCCAGGGGUUGGUGAUGGACGGACAGGGAAGCCUAGCAUUCUGCAGUCCGUGGGGUUGCAAAGAGUUGGACACAACUGAGCCACUGAACUAAACUGAAUUGAAGGAACUUCAGCUACUUUACUAUCUAUAAACAUUUCACUGUGCAUAAUAAAAUACAGUAUUCUAAGAGUUCCA